rnacentral:rRNA from 1 species
CAGCAGCCGCGGUAAUACGAAGGGGGCUAGCGUUGUUCGGAAUCACUGGGCGUAAAGGGUGCGUAGGCGGGAUCUUAAGUCAGGGGUGAAAUCCCGAGGCUCAACCUCGGAACUGCCUUUGAUACUGGGGUCCUUGAGUCCGGAAGAGGUGAGUGGAACUGCGAGUGUAGAGGUGAAAUUCGUAGAUAUUCGCAAGAACACCGGUGGCGAAGGCGGCUCACUGGUCCGGAACCGACGCUGAGGCACGACAGCGUGGGGAGCAAACAGGAUUAGAUACCCCCGUAGUCCCUGUCUCUUAUAC